UUAUCAGAAAAAAAACGAAAGAGGCAUUAUUCUAGUUGCUACUCAUAUUAUCAUGAUCGCGAAACAGUUAAUACUAUAAGUCUACUUUUUAACUUUCUCAUGCUGUUUGGGUGCAUACCUAUAGUUGACUCAUUUAUUAUGUCAAAGGUGGUCUGUAUUGGGAUGACUAAUCAGCAGUAUUUAUGAAGACUUUCGAAAACAUUCUUCGAAAAUCAGUAAUAUUUUGUGCAUUACUAUGUCGUCUUAGAGGGAAGAUUGAUUCCAAUGGCUGUGUUGCUGCUUUCCUGGAAGAGCGCUUGAACAUGGGUCUUAAUUUCAUUCUUUCUGCCGAGGUUGAUCAUAAAAAGAAAGAUUACAAGUUUGGAUUUGGGCUGACAGUGGGUGAGUAGAGAGGCAGUUUAGACUAGGAUUAAUUUUUAAUUGGUAACAUCCGUGGAAUUAAAAGCAUCGGAGGUGAUUCUUUUCCUCACAAUAAGAAUCAAAGCAUCAGUUUUGUAUUUUUACUGAGCAACAUGGUAUGGAGCAUAAGGUGCUGCAACUAGCCACCAGAUGUUGAUUUUGCAGUGUUGGGGUGUUAUUGUUCAAUAUUCAAUAAUAUGCCCAUAGAAUGUUGUAGAGUUGAAUUCAUUCCGAAAGAAAAAAAUAGAAUUCUGAUUUUAGUGUUUAUGAAUAGUGGCAUUUGCCCACUGGAGCACUUGAAGUUUGUUAACAAGUGGAAAUUCAUGUACUUAGUUUCCAGCCUCAUCAUUGUCACAAAUUCAACACCUAUCCCCA